rnacentral:rRNA from 1 species
UACGAGGGGUGCAAGCGUUGCUCGGAAUUAUUGGGCGUAAAGAGCGUGUAGGCGGCUAGGUAGGUCCGUUGUGAAAACUCGAGGCUCAACCUCGAGACGUCGAUGGAAACCAUCUAGCUAGAGUCCGGAAGAGGAGAAUGGAAUUCCUGGUGUAGCGGUGAAAUGCGCAGAUAUCAGGAAGAACACCGAUGGCGAAGGCAGUUCUCUGGGACGGUACUGACGCUGAGACGCGAAAGCGUGGGGAGCGAACAGG